GAUGAAGAACGUAGCGAAAUGCGAUAAGUAAUGUGAAUUGCAGAAUUCAGUGAAUCAUCGAAUCUUUGAACGCACCUUGCGCCCUUUGGCCAUUCCGAAGGGCAUGCCUGUUUGAGUAUCAUGAACACCUCAACUCUUUAUGGUUUUCCAUGAUGAGCUUGGACUUUGGGGGUUUUGCUGGCCUAUGGUCGGCUCCUCUAAAAUAAAUCAGCUUACCGGUGUUUGGUGGGUAUCAUGGGUGUGAUAACUAUCUACGCUUGUGGUUUUUCCACCAGGUAACCUUCGACAGCGGAGGUUCACUGGAGCUCAUAGAUGUCUCUCCUCAGCGAGGACAGCCCUUUGAAUGUUUGAUCUCCAAUCAGGUAGGACUACCCGCUGAACUUAAGCAUAUCAAUAAGCGGAGGA
rnacentral:misc_RNA from 1 species